GAACACUCAUGUUGAGCUUGAUGAUGAUGUUGUCAAAGCUUUGAAAGAGCUUCCAGGGAUAGUAGCAUCUCUCAAAGAGGUCCUAGAGUCCAUGAAACGAGGCUCAUGCAGCUCAAGCCCAAGUUCAUCUGAGCUGUGUCUUUCAGAAACCUCAGAAAUGAUUUCCCUUGGUGGUUCUGAUGUAAAAGUCCCCAAAAGAGUCUAUGACAGGCUGAACAAAUCACGAGCUUCUCUUUUUACUCAAGAUUUGGC